rnacentral:rRNA from 1 species
CCUACGUGUGGCAGCAGUGGGGAAUUUUGCGCAAUGCUCGUAAGAGUGACGCAGCGACGCCGCGUGAAUGACGAAGGCCUUCGGGUUGUAAACCACUUUUGUAGAGAACGAAAAGUCUGUUGAUAAUACCGAUAGAUGAUGACGGUACUCUAAGAAUAAGCACCGGCUAACUACGUUCCAGCAGCCGCGAUAAUACGUAGGGUGCGAGCGUUAAUCGGAAUUACUGGGCGUAAAGGGUGUGCAGGCGGUUUUGCAAGAUGGAUGUGAAAGCCCCGGGCUUAACCUGGGAAAGCCAUACAUGACUGCAAGACUAGAGUGCGUCAGAGGGGGGUGGAAUUCCAAGUGUAGCAGUGAAAUGCGUAGAUAUUUGGAAGAACACCGAUGGCGAAGGCAGCCCCCUGGGACGCAACUGACGCUCAUACACGAAAGCGUGGGGAGCAAACAGGAUUAGAUACCCGGGUAGUC